UACGUAGGGAGCAAGCGUUGUCCGGAAUCAUUGGGCGUAAAGCGCGCGUAGGCGGCCCCGUAAGUCCGCUGUGAAAGUCAAAGGCUCAACCUUUGAAAGCCGGUGGAUACUGUGGGGCUAGAGUACGGAAGAGGCGAGUGGAAUUCCUGGUGUAGCGGUGGAAUGCGCAGAUAUCAGGAGGAACACCAAUAGCGAAGGCAGCUCGCUGGGACGUUACUGACACUGAGGCGCGAAA
rnacentral:rRNA from 1 species